rnacentral:rRNA from 1 species
AACGAACGCUGGCGGCAUGCCUAACACAUGCAAGUCGAACGAGACCUUCGGGUCUAGUGGCGCACGGGUGCGUAACGCGUGGGAACCUGCCCUUAGGUUCGGAAUAACUCCCCGAAAGGGGUGCUAAUACCGGAUAAUGUCUUCGGACCAAAGAUUUAUCGCCUUUGGAUGGGCCCGCGUUGGAUUAGCUAGUUGGUAGGGUAAAAGCCUACCAAGGCGAGGAUCCAUAGCUGGUCUGAGAGGAUGAUCAGCCACACUGGAACUGGGACACGGCCCAGACUCCUGCGGGAGGCAGCAGUGGGGAAUAUUGGACGAUGGUGGAUAGCCUGAUCCAGCAAUGCCGGGUGAGUGAUGAAGGCCUUAGGGUUGUAAAGCUCUUUUACCCGGGAUGAUAAUGACAGUACCGGGAGAAUAAGCUCCGGCUAACUCCGUG